AAGACGAAAGCAGAAACCGAGCCCGUGGGCAGGACUGCAGUUCGGCCUCUCCGGCCCACGCUCCUCCCCGGGCCCGGGGGAAUGACUUCCUUCCCGUCUGGAGAGAAGAGCACGGGCUCAGGAGGCCCUCCUGCGGACAGCUCCAAGCCGGGGCACCCCGCAAACCGGGAGCCGGGCCUGAGCUCGGGGCCCCGUCUGCGCAGGAGGGCUUGCCCACUGGAGGGCUCUCAGGGGGGCAGCUCCAGCCCUUUCACACUCGUCAUCGCCAGAAGCCUGCGGAGAACCCAGGCCACACGCGGAGCGCACGGGACACAGGUGCACACGGGACACAGGUGCGCACGGGACACAGGUGCGCACGGGACACAGGUGCGCACGGGACACAGGUGCGCAGGCCGAGCGGCUCAGAGCCUCAUCCUCCGCGAGCAGGGACCGCACAGCCCGCCCGCCCCUCCGGACAGCCCCGCCGUGAGGCUGACGGGCAGGAAAGGUGACGUGUGUCCGUCCUCACGAGCCAAUGAGUCUGAGUUCAGGAUGCUGCGGACGCGUUCCCAUCCUGUGAGCCUCAUGAGCCGUCUGCCAGCUGGAGUGCCGCUCACUGCCGGGCCCUUUCCUGCCCCGAAAGGCCCCGGCCCUCGGAGACCAGCCCUCCCCCGUCCUUCCCGGAGUUCCCGGAGCGUCAGCACUGGGUGACCUAACUGCCUUUACCCGCGUGACGCCGGUCCUUCCCAGCGACGGGCACUGGCCGCGGAGACCAGCAGGAAGCCCUGGGCUGGAGACCUCGGGCGUGCCUGUGGUCCGCUAUUCUAAGGCAUCGACGUUGUUUUAAGCGGAGAUCAUGCUAGACACAUUAGUGGUUAUCACUGAUUUUUAAAAUACUUUUACUGAUUUCAGAGAGGAAAGAGAGACAUAGAAACAUCAAUGAUGAGAGAGCAUCAUUGACCGGCAGCCUCCCGCGUACCCACGACUGGGGAUCGAGCCCGCAACCCGGGCCUGUGCCCUGCCUGGGAAUCAAAAGUCAGCCUGCUUUAUAGGUCGACGCUCAACCACUGAGCCACGCCGGCCGGGCGGUUCUUGUUUUGUAGAGUGAGUGAUGGUCGGUCUGUGCCGAUGCUGCUGACCGACCCGCGGCCUUCGGAGCCCCAACACGGUAUUCUCCUGAGAGGCAGCGUCCCCCCAGCCCACGGGCCUCUCCAAACCCUCCCUUAAGGUCCGCUGUCUGCCUGGCCGUGUCUCCCGCCCUCAUGACUUAUCCUAGGGCAGAACCUAUGACACACGUGUCAGAGGUAACACGCGAACUCUUUUUUGGUUGAUUUUUCUUUGUUAAAUGGCAUUUAAAUAUAUAAAAUAAAUAUCAAAAAUAUA